UCAAUAGUCUCUUAAUUGGUGACUUGUAUGAAAGAUUGGAUGAGAUAUAUACUGUCUCUAAUUAAUUUAUAGRAUUUAAUUUUUUAGUAAAAAAGCUAAAAUAAUUUUAAAAGACGAGAAGACCCUAUAGAGUUUAAUAAUUUAUUUAAUUAUUAUUAAUAUAUAAUUUUUAAAAUUAAAAUUAAAUAGAUUAUUUUAUUGGGGUGAUAGAAAAAUUAAAUUAACUUUUUUUUAUUAUUUACAUUAAUUUAUGAUUAAAUGAUCCAUUUAUAAUGAUUAAAAGAAAAAAUUACCUUAGGGAUAACAGCGUAAUUUUUUUUUUUAGUUCAAAUAGGAAAAAAAGUUUGCGACCUCGAUGUUGGAUUAA
rnacentral:rRNA from 1 species